AUGUGACAACUCUCGAUCUCGUUCUCUACCCAAGAAGAAGCGUGCUAGGCAUGGUUUUCGGUACCAAAUGGAGCUGAAUUUCGAUACUGAAGAUGCAAAGCAGGCUUUUGUAGCUAGGAUAGAUAGGGCAAAGCUAGAGGCUCAUUGCCCUUGGAUAGCAGAGAGGUUAUUUCUGUCUUGUUGGACAAGUUGGAGCAUUAUCAGAACGAGCACUCAGAUUGUAACGAAGCGUCACCCUGUAAGCGUCCAGGGUACAAGCCCACGAAGAUAAAACUAGAGGAUCCUCUUGCAAUCGAGUCAUUCACGUCAGCACUAAAAGACACCCUUAUUUACAAGAAUGCCGAAUCAUUGUCGAGUGAGGUUUUUUUCUAAUUAUUAUAUAAAUUUCUAUGAUGUUGUGUCGAGACACAUUCUGGGUGGAUACAUCUCAAAACGUGUACACUUCGUGGAAGCCACAUGAGAAUGAACCUUGCUAUUAUGGACUGGAACGAGAAUGUACGUAGAGAGUGUACAAGUGAACGACUGGUUCAGGGCAUGAGAAGACCGGAUCGUAGGACUCCCGUAAGAGUGCUGGUGGAAAAAUCGUUCAACUUUGCCGGAGAAAUAUGGCGAGCAGCAGAGAAAAGUUGACCUCAGUGAGUUUGUAGAGGACGUGCAACCUGAGCAAUCAGAUGAGCCAGUAGAUGAAAACGAGGACCUAGUAAACGAUGGUGUACAUGUACUUGACGAAGGUCUUUAUGAAGACAUAUAAAGUAAGAAGUAGAAGACUGGAAGUCUGUGUAUGGAACUCCAUCUGGAUUCGGAAAUCGCUCACGCACCUCCUGGAAAAGGUGCAGCGCUUCCAAUCAGCCAGCUGGGUGGUCUGGCUCUGACACACGGUGACAGGUUGGCAGUACGGGCAGGGACCCUCUCCAUAAGACUGGAGGAUCAUCGUGAUCAUACCCUCCGGGACCUAAGGAAAGUACCACUCAUUUUAUUCAUAUGUACAGGUUAGUGACAUUCACCUUUCUUAGGCCUCGAAGGACCGGCUUCACCCCCAACCGUCCUUACUCAAACUCGAGAAACACCUGUGCAAAAGAUAAGUGAUCGUGAUAUUGGUCGUCAUCCAUAUCACGUGAUAAUUAUUGAAAUUAAUUCCUCUAGAAUUACCUCUCUUUGGCCUCUUCGCUGGAGGGGGAGCAGCUUCACCACUGGAUGUAUUACACCCGCCUGACACUGAUGUGUUACCUUCGGAUGGCGCCGAAUCAAUUUCGUCAAGAGUGACGUCGGGGAACAGCGCAAGCAACUUCUGGAACUCCUCCAGAAAGUGCACUGGAGGAUGCUGGCUGUACCGUACCUGAAGCUGAAAGAUGUAGAUCUACAUCUUAUUUAUGUAAUGUCUUCUGUGGUACCUUGAGUCUUGCUUGUUCUGUAUAAGUAGCCAUUAUGUGUUUUUUGUUUGCUUGUGCUAAAAAAAACCACGUGCAUGUAUCCCCA